AUUGAACGCUGGCGGCAUGCCUUACACAUGCAAGUCGAACGGUAACGCGGGGCAACCUGGCGACGAGUGGCGAACGGGUGAGUAACGCAUCGGAACGUGCCCAGUAGUGUGGGAUAGCCCGGCGAAAGCCGGAUUAAUACCGCACACGACCUACGGGGUGAAAGCGGGGGACCGUAAGGCCUCGCGCCAUUGGAGCGGCCGAUGUCAGAUUAGGUAGUUGGUGGGGUAAAAGCCCCACCAAGCCGACGAUCUGUAGCUGGUCUGAGAGGACGACCAGCCACACUGGGACUGAGACACGGCCCAGACUCCUACGGGAGGCAGCAGUGGGGAAUUUUGGACAAUGGGCGCAAGCCUGAUCCAGCCAUGCCGCGUGCGGGAAGAAGGCCU
rnacentral:rRNA from 1 species